rnacentral:rRNA from 1 species
CCCUUAGAUGUUCUGGGCCGCACGCGUGCUACACUGAGUGGAUCAGCGGGUCAGGUUGCGCGAAAGUGUUUCCUAAUCUUUUAAUCCGCUCGUGAUGGGGAUUGACGGUUGCAAUUUUCUGUCAUGAACGAGGAAUACCUUGUAAGCGCGGGUCAUCAUCCCGCGCUGAAUACGUCCCUGCCCUUUGUACACACCGCCCGUCGCUCCUACCGAUUGAGUGGUCCGGUGAGGCUUUGGGAUCUGAGCGGAAAGAGCGUUUCGCUGUUUCUGCUCGGAAAACUCAGUCGAACCUUAUCAUUUAGAGGAAGGAGAAGUCGUAACA